GCUUAUGGGGACGCCUAUGGGGAGUCUCCCCCCCGCUAUGGGGGGGCUGAUGUGGAGCCCUGGGAUGCUUAUGGGGACCCCUACGCCGACCCCUAUAGGGACGAGGAGCCCCACAGGGAGCCCUGGGGGUCCCACCUGCCCCAUUCGGACCCCUAUGGGGCAGAAGACCCCGAGCCUGGCAGCCUCCGCCGUGGGAGGGACCCCCAAACCCGGCCCUGGGUGUCCUAUGGGGAUUCAGCUGCAGAACCCUAUAGGGCUGAGGACCCUUAUGGGGCUGAGGACCCCUAUAGGGCUCAGGACCCCUAUGGGGGGGGGGAUUCACAGACUGAGAGGGAGACUGAAGGCCUGGCCGGGCCGUGGGACCCCCACAGUGACCCUGGGGACCCCUAUGGGGUCGAGGACCCCCGGCUGCAGGCUUCAGACCCCUAUAGGUUUGGAGACCCCCAGAGUGACCCCAUAGAUACCCAUAGAGCCCUGGACCCCCAUCCUGGUCCUAUAGAACCCUAUAGAGUCCAGGACCCUGAGACUGACCCCAGGGAACCCUACAGGUUUCGGGACCCCCAUCCUGACCCCAUAGAGCCCUAUAGAGUUCAGGACCCCCAUCCUGACCCCAUAGACCCCCAUAAAGCUCAGAAUCCCCAUCCUGGCCCCGUAAAGCCCUAUAGAUUUGGGGACCCCCAUCCUGACCCCAUAGACCCCCAUAGAGCUCAGGACCCCCAUCCUGGCCCCGUAAAGCCCUAUAGGUUUGGGGACACCCAUCCUGACCCCACAGACCCCUAUGGAGAACAGGAUCCCCAUCCCGACCGCAGGGAGCCCUACAGAGCUCAGGACCCCCAUCCUGACCCCACAGAUCCCUAUAGGACCCAGGACCCCCAUCCUGGUCCUAUAGACCCUCAUAGAGCUCAGGACCCCCAUCCUGACCCCACAGAUCCCUAUAGGGCCCAGGACCCCCAGACUGACCCCAUGGACCAUUACAAAGACCGGGAACCCCAAACUGAGCGUAGGGACCCCCAAAAAUCCCAAGAGCCCAGAAUGACCAGGCCCUCCCUUAUAGGGACCUUCAGGACCCCCCAAGACCCCCGCAGUCCCCCUCCCACCAUCAGGGCUCCCCCAGUUCCUCCCUCCAGGGACCCCCAACAUGGAGACCCCCCAGUUUCCCCCCCAACUGCCCCCCUGACUGCCCCUAUUGUCCCCCUGCCAGCCAGGGACCCUAAAACAUCCCCUAUUGCCCCCCAAACCGCCCCUAUUGCCCCAUCAACCACCCCUAUUGCCCCCCUGCCAGCAAGGGACCCCAAAACUGCCCCUAUUGCCCCCCUGNNNNNNNNNNNNNNNNNNNNNNNNNNNNNNNNNNNNNNNNNNNNNNNNNNNNNN
rnacentral:lncRNA from 1 species